AUGACAUUCUCUGGUGAGGAUUGCAGGCUUCAAACCUGUAGGGGUCUAGCGGCCCAGUGGUUCAAUUCCACCUUGC
rnacentral:tRNA from 1 species